rnacentral:lncRNA from 10 species
GUUGCUAUUUUUGAAAUAAUUAUCAAGUUAAUCACAUGAUGUUGAAGAUAAAGGAGACAGGGUCAUUUGUCAAAUGUCUACCUGGAUGCUUUUCAGCCCUCUCCAAGCCAUGAGAUGGAAGAGUGUCCUUAUAUGAAGACUGCUGGAGUUCCAUUGGCUGGAAGUGCCUCAGGCUGUGGCUGGUGUUUGAAGGGCUGCUCCACACAUAUCAAUCAUCCUUUGACAAGAUCUGGAAGAAAAAAAAAAACAACAAAAACCACCCCCCAAAAAGGUGAGGUUCCGAGAUGGUAUCUGGAUGAUGAACACAGAGAGAGCUUCCAUUGUUCCUCUUCUCCUUUGUGCAGAGGAAGCCGUUGGCUGUGACUACUGAGAACAGAAUGUCCCCUCACAUCCAAUAUGGUAUCAGCCCUGACAUCUCUUAAAUACAGGUUCCAGCGACAGGGCUAUUGAGUGACUUCACUGCAAUCAGUAUUGCUGACUAAUGCCUGUAUCAACACCUACCGCCGCCACCACCGGCGCUUCAGUGAUUUUAUGUUCAGUUUGAUUUCUCCAGACAGAACUUUUCCACAUCAUUGGAACUAAUUGAGAAAAUAACAAGAGGAAGAAUUCGUCUUCAUGAAUUGAAUUGUCAGUUCUGCAGACAAUUAUCAAAAAUUUUACAGGAACACCUUGAGAGAUGUCGAAGUGUUUAUUUCAACAGCCCAAAGAAGAGAACCACAAUAUGGACACUCUCUGUCUUCACAAAUCCCCCAACGCAUGUUUUAUUCAACCUUCCAAUUUUUAGACAAAGAUUCUUGUUAGCCUCAUGAAAGACCUGGAUACUGGGGGAAAGAUGGUAUCAUAUUUUCAAUUAUGAUCAACUCACCUAAUCUGACGGAAGUGGUAAGAAGGAAGCUGGUGUGUAUGCUGAUUGUGAUUUUGAGAAUAAACUCUUACUUCUAAACCACUUACAAAAGUAUUUGCUUUUAGGAAAUGCUGUGUCUGGGUGAGGUACUAGUGGCAGUAACACCUAUUGUACUGUGACAAGUAUUUAAUGGAAUUUAGAAGUAAGGUUGAGCUAAGGAUGCUCCCAAUGUGGCAGGAUUCACAGCAAAGUAUACAAAGGAAAGACUAUGAGUGGAAAGUGACUUGUUAGAAUGUGAGCAGAGAUGUGUCCAGAGCCUCUUCCACCUGCUCGUGUGAAACCCUUAAAAGAUCCUCUAAAGUCUCUCCAGUGGUUCUGUCCAAGUGGAAAGAAGAGAAGGAAUAAGGUAGAGUAGGAAAAGGAGUUCUUCAUGCUUGGGAACGUGAAGAACAUUCUCCUAAAGUAAUGUUCUUAUUUCUAUUAAUCAGCUGUGCAUUGCUCAGGUGAUUUCUGAGAUGAGAUGCAUCAGAAUCCGUGCAUAUCUUUUGUGGUUCCAGAUAACAGCCUACUUCACUAAAAAAAAUCUUCCAGAAUCAUUAAGAGCAUUAAUUUUCAAAACUGUAGAAGGACUAUGGACAUCUUGUGCUUUUAGAGAAUGAACACACAACACAUUUUCUGUUAUAUCAGAGCUUACAGCUUCUAUCAAUUAAGAAAGUAUGGCUCCACUCAAUGAGCUAUAAAGUGAUAGCACAAGAAGGACUUUAGGAAUCAUUGAGCUCCCUUAUCUCUUUGGACAGAUGAGCAAACUGAGACCCAAACAGGAGAGGAGAGGACAAAGUCUUACCCUGGUCGCCUACUGAAUUUGUGGCAGGGUCAAACAACAUUUAUCCCAGAUUCUCAACUGACAUUUCCUUAUACUGUCUUCAUUUUGACCAUUAGCUUGUCAGCUUAAAGGAUUCAAUUAAUUCAAACAGGAUCUUGUAAUUAAAAAAAAUAGAAAAUACAAAAUACAAAAUCAGACUAACUUUCCGUGAGUCACUUUUCCAAAAUGUUUUGUAUCAAUGUGUAACAAACGAG